rnacentral:rRNA from 1 species
GUGGGGAAUCUUCCGCAAUGGACGAAAGUCUGACGGAGCAACGCCGCGUGAGUGAAGAAGGUUUUCGGAUCGUAAAGCUCUUUCGUUAGGGACGAACGUGCUCUUUGUGAAUAAUGAGGAGUAAUGACGGUACCUAAAUAAGAAGCCACGGCUAACUACGUGCCAGCAGCCGCGGUAAUACGUAGGUGGCAAGCGUUGUCCGGAAUUAUUGGGCGUAAAGCGCGCGCAGGCGGGAUAUCAAGUCUGUCGUAAAAGUGCGAGGCUCAACCUCGUGAGGGGACAGAAACUGGUAUUCUUGAGUGUCGGAGAGGAAAGUGGAAUUCCAAGUGUAGCGGUGAAAUGCGUAGAGAUUUGGAAGAACACCAGUGGCGAAGGCGACUUUCUGGACGAUGUCUGACGCUGAGGCGCGAAAGCUAGGGGAGCGAACGGGAUUAGAAACCCGUGUAGUCC